AACGAACGCUGGCGGCAUGCCUAACACAUGCAAGUCGAACGAGACCUUCGGGUCUAGUGGCGCACGGGUGCGUAACGCGUGGGAACCUGCCCUUAGGUUCGGAAUAACUCCCCGAAAGGGGUGCUAAUACCGGAUAAUGUCUUCGGACCAAAGAUUUAUCGCCUUUGGAUGGGCCCGCGUUGGAUUAGCUAGUUGGUAGGGUAAAAGCCUACCAAGGCGACGAUCCAUAGCUGGUCUGAGAGGAUGAUCAGCCACACUGGGACUGAGACACGGCCCAGACUCCUCCGGGGGGGAGCGGGGGGGAAUAUUGGACAAUGGGCGAAAGCCUGAUCCAGCAAUGCCGGGGGGGUGAUGAAGGCCUUGGGGUGGUAAAGCUCUUUUACCCGGGAUGAUAAUGACAGUACGGGGAAAAUAAGCCCCGGCUAACUCCGG
rnacentral:rRNA from 1 species